GAUGAACGCUGGCGGCGUGCCUAAUACAUGCAAGUCGAGCGAACGGACGAGAAGCUUGCUUCUCUGAUGUUAGCGGCGGACGGGUGAGUAACACGUGGAUAACCUACCUAUAAGACUGGGAUAACUUCGGGAAACCGUAGCUAAUACCGGAUAAUAUUUUGAACCGCAUGGUUCAAAAGUGAAAGACGGUCUUGCUGUCACUUAUAGAUGGAUCCGCGCUGCAUUAGCUAGUUGGUAAGGUAACGGCUUAGCAAGGCAACGAUGCAUAGCCGACCUGAGAGAGGGGUCGGCGACACUGGCACUGAAACGCGGACCAGACUCCUAAGAGAGGGAGCAGUCAAGAAUGUUAGGAAUAGGGCGAAAGCCUAACGGAACAACGCCACGUGAGUGAUAAAAAUCUUCUGUUCGUGAAACUGUGUUAUUGGGACAAAACAGAUGUGUAAAGUACUGUGCACGUCUUGACGGUACCUGAUAAGAAAGCCACGGCUAACUACGUG
rnacentral:rRNA from 1 species